rnacentral:rRNA from 1 species
GGUUAAGCGACUAAGCGUACACGGUGGAUGCCCUGGCAGUCAGAGGCGAUGAAGGGCGUGCUAAUCUGCGAUAAGCGCCGGUAAGGUGAUAUGAACCAUUAUAACCGGCGAUACCCGAAUGGGGAAACCCAGUGUGUUUCGACACACUAUCAUUAACUGAAUCCAUAGGUUAAUGAGGCGAACCGGGGGAACUGAAACAUCUAAGUACCCCGAGGAAAAGAAAUCAACCGAGAUUCCCCCAGUAGCGGCGAGCGAACGGGGAGGAGCCCAGAGCCUGAAUCAGCAUGUGUGUUAGUGGAAGCGUCUGGAAAGGCGCGCGAUACAGGGUGACAGCCCCGUACACAAAAGCGCAUGUGCUGUGAGCUCGAUGAGUAGGGCGGGACACGUGGUAUCCUGUCUGAAUAUGGGGGGACCAUCCUCCAAGGCUAAAUACUCCUGACUGACCGAUAGUGAACCAGUACCGUGAGGGAAAGGCGAAAAGAACCCCGGCGAGGGGAGUGAAAAAGAACCUGAAACCGUGUACGUACAAGCAGUGGGAGCACCCUUUGGGGUGUGACUGCGUACCUUUUGUAUAAUGGGUCAGCGACUUAUAUUUUGUAGCAAGGUUAACCGUAUAGGGGAGCCGUAGGGAAACCGAGUCUUAACCGGGCGUUAAGUUGCAGGGUAUAGACCCGAAACCCGGUGAUCUAGCCAUGGGCAGGUUGAAGGUUGGGUAACACUAACUGGAGGACCGAACCGACUAAUGUUGAAAAAUUAGCGGAUGACCUGUGGCUGGGGGUGAAAGGCCAAUCAAACCGGGAGAUAGCUGGUUCUCCCCGAAAGCUAUUUAGGUAGCGCCUCGUGAAUUCAUCUCCGGGGGUAGAGCACUGUUUCGGCUAGGGGGCCAUCCCGGCUUACCAACCCGAUGCAAACUGCGAAUACCGGAGAAUGUUAUCACGGGAGACACACGGCGGGUGCUAACGUCCGUCGUGAAGAGGGAAACAACCCAGACCGCCAGCUAAGGUCCCAAAGUCAUGGUUAAGUGGGAAACGAUGUGGGAAGGCCCAGACAGCCAGGAUGUUGGCUUAGAAGCAGCCAUCAUUUAAAGAAAGCGUAAUAGCUCACUGGUCGAGUCGGCCUGCGCGGAAGAUGUAACGGGGCUAAACCAUGCACCGAAGCUGCGGCAGCGAACGUAUCACUUAAAGCGAUUCAGCGGGUUACGAUUGACGGAGCGAAGCGACGUCAAAGCGUAUACAAAGUCGAGUCGGUUUAAGGAUACGUUCGUUGGGUAGGGGAGCGUUCUGUAAGCCUGUGAAGGUGGCCUGUGAGGGUUGCUGGAGGUAUCAGAAGUGCGAAUGCUGACAUAAGUAACGAUAAAGCGGGUGAAAAGCCCGCUCGCCGGAAGACCAAGGGUUCCUGUCCAACGUUAAUCGGGGCAGGGUGAGUCGACCCCUAAGGCGAGGCCGAAAGGCGUAGUCGAUGGGAAACGGGUUAAUAUUCCCGUACUUGGUGUUACUGCGAAGGGGGGACGGAGAAGGCUAUGUUGGCCGGGCGACGGUUGUCCCGGUUUAAGCGUGUAGGUGUGUGUUCCAGGUAAAUCCGGUUCACUUUAACACUGAGGCGUGAUGACGAGGCACUACGGUGCUGAAGCAACAAAUGCCCUGCUUCCAGGAAAAGCCUCUAAGCAUCAGGUAACAUCAAAUCGUACCCCAAACCGACACAGGUGGUCAGGUAGAGAAUACCAAGGCGCUUGAGAGAACUCGGGUGAAGGAACUAGGCAAAAUGGUGCCGUAACUUCGGGAGAAGGCACGCUGACACGUAGGUGAAGUGAUUUACUCAUGGAGCUGAAGUCAGUCGAAGAUACCAGCUGGCUGCAACUGUUUAUUAAAAACACAGCACUGUGCAAACACGAAAGUGGACGUAUACGGUGUGACGCCUGCCCGGUGCCGGAAGGUUAAUUGAUGGGGUCAGCGCAAGCGAAGCUCCUGAUCGAAGCCCCGGUAAACGGCGGCCGUAACUAUAACGGUCCUAAGGUAGCGAAAUUCCUUGUCGGGUAAGUUCCGACCUGCACGAAUGGCGUAAUGAUGGCCAGGCUGUCUCCACCCGAGACUCAGUGAAAUUGAACUCGCUGUGAAGAUGCAGUGUACCCGCGGCAAGACGGAAAGACCCCGUGAACCUUUACUAUAGCUUGACACUGAACAUUGAGCCUUGAUGUGUAGGAUAGGUGGGAGGCUUUGAAGUGUGGACGCCAGUCUGCAUGGAGCCGGCCUUGAAAUACCACCCUUUAAUGUUUGAUGUUCUAACGUGGACCCGUGAUCCGGGUUGCGGACAGUGUCUGGUGGGUAGUUUGACUGGGGCGGUCUCCUCCUAAAGAGUAACGGAGGAGCACGAAGGUUGGCUAAUCCUGGUCGGACAUCAGGAGGUUAGUGCAAUGGCAUAAGCCAGCUUGACUGCGAGCGUGACGGCGCGAGCAGGUGCGAAAGCAGGUCAUAGUGAUCCGGUGGUUCUGAAUGGAAGGGCCAUCGCUCAACGGAUAAAAGGUACUCCGGGGAUAACAGGCUGAUACCGCCCAAGAGUUCAUAUCGACGGCGGUGUUUGGCACCUCGAUGUCGGCUCAUCACAUCCUGGGGCUGAAGUAGGUCCCAAGGGUAUGGCUGUUCGCCAUUUAAAGUGGUACGCGAGCUGGGUUUAGAACGUCGUGAGACAGUUCGGUCCCUAUCUGCCGUGGGCGCUGGAGAACUGAGGGGGGCUGCUCCUAGUACGAGAGGACCGGAGUGGACGCAUCACUGGUGUUCGGGUUGUCAUGCCAAUGGCACUGCCCGGUAGCUAAAUGCGGAAGAGAUAAGUGCUGAAAGCAUCUAAGCACGAAACUUGCCCCGAGAUGAGUUCUCCCUGAGACUUUAAGUCUCCUGAAGGAACGUUGAAGACGACGACGUUGAUAGGCCGGGUGUGUAAGCGCAGCGAUGCGUUGAGCUAACCGGUACUAAUGAACCGUGAGGCUUAACCUU